rnacentral:rRNA from 1 species
AUUGAACGCUGGCGGAAUGCUUUACACAUGCAAGUCGAGCGGCAGCGCGGGGGCAACCUUGGCGGCGAGCGGCGAACGGGUGAGUAACAUAUCGGAACGUACCCCGUCGUGGGGGAUAACACAGCGAAAGCUGUGCUAAUACCGCAUACGACCUGAGGGUGAAAGCGGGGGAUCGCAAGACCUCGCGCGAUGGGAGCGGCCGAUAUCGGAUUAGCUUGUUGGUGAGGUAAAGGCUCACCAAGGCGACGAUCCGUAGCUGGUCUGAGAGGACGACCAGCCACACUGGAACUGAGACACGGUCCAGACUCCUACGGGAGGCAGCAGUGGGGAAUUUUGGACAAUGGGGGCAACCCUGAUCCAGCCAUUCCGCGUGAGUGAAGAAGGCCU